UUUCCAGCUAAUAUAGCAGGGCUGAAGGCUGAGAGCAGAAGCCCUGGAAGCUGUCAGAGAGGAGCCAUGGACACUGUCUCUGAACCGGACCCUGGACUCACUAAGGAACCUGAGGACAAGUCUUUGGACCCGAGGAAGACCAGCCACAGAAGAUUUGCCCUAAAGUCCUGCAACAUUGUCUUGCUGAUAUUCGGACUGCUGAGUAUUCUCUUAAUCUCCCUGCAGUUCAGAUUUUCUAUAAAACCCUAAUGAGGGUUUAGACGACCAAUCAGAGGCCUGGGUGGAGAGGGGCUUCCUCUUCGUCAGAGGUGGGAGGUACGGUCUGCUGCAUGGCGAGCAACAGCGCUGGCACGGCCAAUCACAGCGCUGAGCUGCUUGUCUUUGAUGCCUGUGAACUCACACUGGACCCCAACACGGCCCACAGACAGGAAGGAAGGUGACGUGGGUUGGAGAGGACCAGUCGUAUCCGGAUCACCCAGAGAGAUUUGACUCCCGGCCCCAGGUGUUGGGUAGAGAGGCUCUGACUGGCCGCUGUUACUGGGAGGUAGAGUGGGAAGGACUUCUUGAGAUAGGAGUGACAUACAGAGGAAUAACAAGGAGAGGACGGGGUGGUGACAGCAGGCUUGGAGGGAACAAGAAGUCCUCGGCCCCGUAUCCCGAUAUCGAUGGAUCUUCGCUCGUAAGAUGGUUCGAAAGAUGGAUCUUUCGAACCAUCGAUAAUUUCUUUGGAGCGUUUCCCGAAACUCCUCUUAACGUGAACGCGCAUUCGCUGCACUCACGACGAUCGUAGGAUUGUACCUGUCCACUGACAUGGUGCUGAAACGGGCUAUGACGCAGGGGGAGACGCAGGAAUGUCGGAGGAAAAUGGGGUUAAAAAGGGUUAAAAUAUCUCCCCAUCAAGGCCAACCGCAGAGUAGCCUACGAAAAGAAUAGAUUGCAAUAAUAUGAAUGCUAAAGAUAUUAAAACACAAUUGAUUAAGCCUAGGCCGACAUAUAUAGCAGUCCUAAUCCUGAGCGCACGAUCGGGAGGUGGAAGUUGCGCUUUAGAUGCCUUCACAAGUCCAGCGGAGGGCUCCAGUUUUCGCUGGCCAAGUCAUGCGCUGUGAUACGUGUGACAGCUAUGUUGCACAACAUUGCAGCUAAGGCUGGGGUAGCUUUGGUUGAACCGGAGGACAUUGAGGACGAUGGCGACGAGGAAGAUCGGUGUGAGGACGGCCUCCCUCAUAACUAUGCGGCUGGUUUUCAUGCACGUCGAAGAGUGAUUGAGACUUUUUUUAACCCCCUCCACCCUCCCACAUGUCACUAAACAUUCCCGUCAACGUGACCAAUCCCCACCAUAUCCCAGCCUUUUGCCUGCUCCUUUGCAUUUUUUUAAAUAUUUUUAUCAUUAAUCUUUUUAUUAUUUUUUUAUUUUAUUUUGUUUUACAUUAUUUUAGGCUACGUUUUAUGAGUAGCCUAUGUCAGUCUGCACAAAUCCCCCCCACUUUCUCUCACACAUUUUAAGUGCCCUGCCUGCUCAAACAUUUCCUGGACUGUCUCUCUCAAACUAAGAACAUAAUGGCCCACAUUAGGCUCAGACGCACGUGAUACACCAUUACCAAUGUGUUAUAAUAAAACACAUUCAAUACUAGGAAUGUCCGCUGGCUACGCCACUGAGGCUAUAGUAGGCUAACGAGGCUCUUAGCGUCCUACGAGUACCCUGGAGCACUCGUUAGCUACUCGUGACUUGUGAGCGUUUUCAAGACGUCCGUUACCAUAGAUGCUUUCGGGAAACGGUGUGAAAACUGUAGGAUGCUCGUACGACCCACUCUGCGAUCCACUUAGGCUAAAGAUGCUUUCGGGAAACGGGGCCCUGGAGUCUUUAUUGUUAUGAUGGUGGUUACUCUGCCCGGUACAACGGUAGACCAACAGUCCUCCCUCUCCGCCCCGCUGGCUCCACCAGAGUAGGAGUGUAUCUGGAGUGGCCUGCUGGCUCUCUGUCCUUCUACAGAGUGUCCCCAGGUGGAGGAGGGUCCUCAGACACACUGACACACCUCCACACCCUCUGGUCCUCCUUCACCCAGGAGGACCUCCUCCUUCACCCAGGAGGACCUCCUCCCGGGGGUGGGGCUCUGGUGGACCCCAGUGGGGUCCUCAGCCUCUCUGUGUCGGUGGUAGAA